UUAACUGCAGUCAACUUAGGGGUAAACUGUGGUCAAUCACUUGACCUGGUGUUGCAAGACAAUACGGCAUUUAUAGUAUAACCAUUUUACUUAUGUGUGAAGCCAGUUUGAUAACAAAAAGAGCAUCUGUGAAACUACAUGAAGCAACAAGGGGAUAGUGGGGUGGUGGAGGGGGGGCUGUCAUUUCUGCAAGAGCCCAUAGCUAUUUAAUAAAUAUAAAAAAGUAUAUAAAACAUUUUUACUACUCAU